rnacentral:rRNA from 1 species
GACGAACGCUGGCAGCGUGCUUAACACAUGCAAGUCGAACGGAUCCCAAGUGUCAGCAAUGACAUGGAAGGGUGAGUGGCGAACGGGUGAGUGACACGUGAGGAACCUGCCCCGGACUCAGGGAUAACGGCUGGAAACGGCUGCUAAUACCUGAUGCCGUCGUAUCAUCGCAUGGUGGUGUGACGAAAGAAUCUCGGUUC